CCCUUUUGGGGGGCUCCAUGGCUGUGGGGGUGCUGAGUUUGGGGGUCCCCAUCACUCCAGGGGGGUCCCAGCCCCCCCCAUCCCCCCCCCCAUCCCCCAACGCCCCCCGUGCCCCCCCAGGAGCGCGAAGCAGCCCCGGGGCGCCCCCCACUGGCUGCGGCGGGACCUGCGGGGGUGUUCGCUGCGUGGCCAGGGCCUUCCGGGGGGGGCUGUUCUACAACUGCAAGAUGCAGAUCGAGGACCUGCUGUCCCCCGACACCUGCGUGUGCCGCACGGACGACGGGCGCCUGGUGGAGGGUGAGACCCCCAAAGGGGGGAACGGGGGGGCCCUGAGCCCCCAAAAACACCAAAAACCCCUCUGGAACCCCAAAAACCCCUCUGGAACCCCCAAAGUCACCCCGAUAUCCCUGAGCCCCAAAAUUCCCAAACUGUCCCCUCCCCUGAACCCCCAAAUCUCCCUCCUGAGACCCCAAAACCUGACUGGGACCCCCAAAAUCACCCUGAUACCCUUGAGCCCCCAAAUCCCCUCUGGAACCC
rnacentral:lncRNA from 14 species